UGGCAACGGACAAUUAUUUGUUGUUGGAGUAAAUGAGUUUUGGGAUUUCCAGCAAGGGUUCCUGGUUUUGAACCUUUACCAUGGCAGUGCCACUACAUAACCGUUUCCAGGCUCUAGUUAGUUUAAAUGAUGAGGGGAUGGUAAGACAGGUGAACAAAUUGGCGGCCUUUAUUAAACCCUCCUCGCCUAACCAACAGACCCUGGCAAAGGCCCAUUCCAGUUAUGCGGCUGCGGUGACCAGCAAGUCACCAACUGGUAGGGUCUCAAUGGGAGCCCAGGCCAUAGGGACUUUGGAAUAUGCAGGAAUAUCCCAGGGGGCCAGAGUGACACUUCGGUCCUGCAAAGAGUGGCGGGACUAGCUUCAGACUUACCCCAAUAACCAGGAAGAGCACGGGGAUACCGAAUCCCCAAACUCAGCGACCAAGAAACAAUUUGGCCGAGCCUAAAGUCCCAGCCUUGACCCUUCCAGGUUCACAGCAAGAGGACCAUCAGGGUAAGGUAGCAAUGGCAAAUGGAAAAGACACGGGCCCUGGGACAGAACCAAUACUGGAACCUGUAA